UUGUCGCCGACAACGCUGGCGGCGUGCUUAACACAUGCAAGUCGAACGAUGAAGCCUUCGGGGUGGUAGUGGCGAACGGUGAGUAACACGUGGGCAAUCUGCCCUGCACUCUGCAAGCCCUGGAAACGGUCAAUACCGGAUGUACUUCUGCUCGCAUGGGUGGAGGUUGAAAGCUCGGGUGCAGGAUGAGCGCGGCUAUCAGCUUGUGGUGAGGUAGUGGCUCACCAAGGCGACGACGGUCCGGCCUGAGAGGGACCGGCACACUGGGACGAGACACGGCCCAGACUCCUACGGGAGGCACAGGGGAAUAUUGCAAUGGGCGAAGCCUGAUGCACGACGCCGCGUGAGGGAUGACGGCCUUCGGUUAAACCUCUUUCCAGGGAAGAACGCAAGUGACGUACCUGCAGAAGAAGCGCCGGCUAACACGUGAGCAGCCGCGAAUACGAAGGGCCAAGCGUUGUCGGAAUUAUUGGGCGUAAAGAGCUCUAGGCGCUGUCGCGGAUGUGAAAGCCCGGGCUUAACCCCGGUCUGCAUUCGAUACGGGCAGAUAGAGUGGUAGGGGGAUCGGAAUUCCUGGUUAGCGGUGAAAUCGCAGAUAUCAGGAGGAACCCGGUGGCAGGCGGAUCUGGGCCAUUACUGACGCGAGGAGCGAAACGUGGGGAGCGAACAGGAUAGAUACCCGUAGUCCGCCGUAAACGGUGGGAACUGGUGUUGGCGAAUUCCAGUCGUCGGUCCGCAGCUAACAUUAAGUUCCCGCCUGGGGAGUACGGCCGCAGGCUAAACUCAAGGAAUUGACGGGGGCCCGCACAAGCAGGGCAUGUGGCUUAAUUCGACGAACGCGAAGAACUUACCAAGGCUUGACAUACACCGAAGCAUCAGAGAUGGUGCCCCCCUUGUGGUCGUGUACAGGUGGUCAUGGCUGUCGUCAGCUCGUGUGAGAUGUUGGGUUAAGUCCCGCAACGAGCGCACCCUUGUUCUGUUUGCCAGCAUGCCCUUCGGGAUGGGGACUCACAGGAGACUGCCGUCAACUCGAGGAAGGUGGGCGACGUCAAGUCAUCAUGCCCUUAUGUCUUGGGCUGCACACGUGCUACAAUGGCCGUACAAUGAGCUGGAUGCCGUGAGGCGGAGCGAAUCUCAAAAAGCCGGUCUCAGUUCGGAUUGGGGUCUCAACUCGACCCCAGAAGUCGGAGUUGCUAUAAUCGCAGAUCAGCAUUGCUGCGGUGAAUACGUUCCCGGCUGAAAGCCCGUCAGUCCAGCGAA
rnacentral:rRNA from 1 species